AAUGAACGUUGGCGGCGUGGAUUAGGCAUGCAAGUCGAGCGCGAUAUGUAGCAAUACAUGGAGAGCGGCGAAAGGGAGAGUAAUACGUAGGUAUCUACCCUCGGGUCUGGGAUAGCAGCGGGAAACUGCUGGUAAUACCAGAUAACGUCUCCGGACCAAAGGUGUGAUUCCACCUGAGGAGGAGCCUACGGCCUAUUAGCUAGUUGGUAGGGUAACGGCCUACCAAGGCAAAGAUGGGUAUGGGGUGUGAGAGCAUGCCCCCACUCACUGGGACUGAGACACUGCCCAGACACCUACGGGUGGCUGCAGUCGAGAAUCUUCGGCAAUGGGCGAAAGCCUGACCGAGCGACGCCGCGUGCGGGAUGAAGGCCUUCGGGUUGUAAACCGCUGUCGUAGUGGAGGAAAUGUAGGAGAGUUAUCUCUUCUACUUGACUAAUACUAGGAGGAAGGACCGGCUAAUCUCGUGCCAGCAGCCGCCGCCG
rnacentral:rRNA from 1 species